rnacentral:rRNA from 1 species
GGCAUAACCCCGGGAAACUGGGGAUAAUCCCGGAUAACGCACAUAUGCUGNAAUGCUUUAUGCGUAAAAUGGAUUCGUCUGCCCAAGGAUGGGUCUGCGGCCUAUCAGGUAGUAGUGGGUGUAAUGUACCUACUAGCCAACAACGGGUACGGGUUGUGAGAGCAAGAGCCCGGAGAUGGAUUCUGAGACAUGAAUCCAGGCCCUACGGGGCGCAGCAGGCGCGAAAACUUUACAAUGCGGGAAACCGUGAUAAGGGGACACCGAGUGCCAGCAUCAUAUGCUGGCUGUCCAGGUGUGUAAACUACACCUGUUAGCAAGGGCCGGGCAAGACCGGUGCCAGCCGCCGCGGUAACACCGGCGGCCCGAGUGGUGAUCGUGAUUAUUGGGUCUAAAGGGUCCGUAGCCGGUUUGGUCAGUCCUCCGGGAAAUCUGAUAGCUCAACUAUUAGGCUUUCGGGGGAUACUGCCAGGCUUGGAACCGGGAGAGGUAAGAGGUACUACAGGGGUAGGAGUGAAAUCUUGUAAUCCCUGUGGGACCACCUGUGGCGAAGGCGUCUUACCAGAACGGGUUCGACGGUGAGGGACGAAAGCUGGGGGCACGAACCGGAUUAGAUACCCGGGUAGUCCCAGCCGUAAACGAUGCUCGCUAGGUGUCAGGCAUGGCGCGACCGUGUCUGGUGCCGCAGGGAAGCCGUGAAGCGAGCCACCUGGGAAGUACGGCCGCAAGGCUGAAACUUAAAGGAAUUGGCGGGGGAGCACAA